rnacentral:sRNA from 1 species
GCUAUGCGUAAAACGUGCGGGAUGAGAACCUGCUGGCAGGUUCGACUGAAUCGCAAAGCGGUUCAGGCUGAUGCGCCAGCAUCACCCGAAGGGUGAGGCCCGGACGGGAGAAACCCUGUCCAACUUCCCU